rnacentral:lncRNA from 1 species
AUCAACUCAGAUUUUUUUAUAUACCACAACCUUAAUAGGAUUAGGAGUCAUGCUAAUGUUAAUUAUCAGAAAUAAAAAAAGGUAAUGUAAACAUGGAGAAUUUUAUUUCCUUUUACAUUAAAAAAUAUUUGAAGUGAUGUCUGCCAACUUCAUUAUGGAGUGUACAAUGAUUAACUAUGUUUCAUCUUUUCCACCUGGAAGAUUCCAUGUUCACUUCUGAUGCUGUGAAAUGCUGCAAAAAUGCAUUCAGGAUGCUCACCCACUGUUUUCACUGGUGUUUCAUAGACAACACUCUUCUUAUCUCAUUCUCUAUCACAAGGACAGGAAAUCAAACAAUUCAUAGCACUGUGGAGCUGUCAUUUCACAUUAUAUCACUCC